rnacentral:lncRNA from 1 species
AAUUUAUUUUCGUUAUUUUUUUUUAUGUUAGCAAUUUAAAAUUCCGUCAUUACAAUAUUUUCGCGAACCUCUUUUGUACACUUCGCAAAUCCCCAGCAGUUUGUGAACCACCGGUUGGGAACUGAUGUCAUAGGGAUAUCAUGUGUUAGAAUUUUAUGAUGUCAUCCAUUGGUAUUUCAUACUCAUAAAUAGAGGGACUCAUUAAGGCAUUGCCUUAUAGAGCUACAGCUCCCUUGCACCACCAUGAAGGUACUAUAGGGAUCCUCUUGCAAGAUGUAACUGGCUUUAGUCAUAGCCAAUGCAUGGCAGGGAUUUAGUCCACCUCCUCCAGGUCCACUUCUAUAAGAGAGGUCCAGCUGAUCCAGCCGGCCUGCUAAAUAGAUUCUUCUGGCCUCUGCCUCUCAUGCAUGGUGUUGCUUUAGCAACUGAUAAUAGCCAACAAAUGCUGCAUCAAGCAUUGCAACUUACAAAACCAAAUUGCUUAAGUUCAUUAAAUGAUUACUGCUAUAAAGUGCUUGUUUUAAAGUUAACUCAAUAAAUAUUUAUUUUAUUUUGCGAAGUACUUUCAGCUAAUCACCAUCCUCAGUGCUAAUAUUCAAAUACAG